UCCUACGGGGGCAGCAGUCGAGAAUCAUUCACAAUGGGGGAAACCCUGAUGGUGCGACGCCGCGUGGGGGAAUGAAGGUCUUCGGAUUGUAAACCCCUGUCAUGUGGGAGCAAAUUAAAAAGAUAGUACCACAAGAGGAAGAGACGGCUAACUCUGUGCCAGCAGCCGCGGUAAUACAGAGGUCUCAAGCGUUGCUCGGAAUCACUGGGCGUAAAGCGUGCGUAGGCUGUUUUGUAAGUCGUGUGUGAAAGGCGCGGGCUCAACCCGCGGACGGCACAUGAUACUGCGAGACUAGAGUAAUGGAG
rnacentral:rRNA from 1 species